CCGCGGUAAUACAGAGGGUGCAAGCGUUAAUCGGAAUCACUGGGCGUAAAGCGUGCGUAGGUGGUCAUGCAAGUCGGGUGUGAAAUCCCCGGGCUUAACCUGGGAACUGCAUUCGAUACUACAUGGCUAGAGUAUGGUAGAGGGAAGUGGAAUUUCCGGUGUAGCGGUGAAAUGCGUAGAUAUCGGAAGGAACACCAAUGGCGAAGGCAGCUUCCUGGACCAAUACUGACACUGAGGCACGAAAGCGUGGGUAGCAAACAGG
rnacentral:rRNA from 1 species